CUUGGAGCUGCAGCAAUGUUCAAAGACUGACACCUUUCAGGUCAAAGCUACCCACUUGACCAGGAAUCUCACCAGUGGAUCAUCAAACUACUGUGUAUCCAACUCACAUUGGAUCGCAUGUGAUUUAUCAUCUGGACCAACGUACCAGGAGGGACCUUGUCAAACACUUUGCCAUAGAAAUGUUGCUACCUGUAUAUUUCUCUUCAAGCUACACACUAUUGGGACUUGAAGAUAAUUACAAAACAAGAGCUAUACCGUGAGAGAGCGGUGGUCAAAAUUCGGGAUUGUGGCCAGCGCUGAUUCUGUCUGUUACAGGAAUGUAAAAAAGACGUGGUCAACAGCACUGAUCGCAUCCUGAUUGGGACAAAACCCAGCACUGCUUCAAGCAGAUGGAGAGUUAUGACAGGAUACACAAAAAGGUGUCCAAAUCUACACUAGCCACGAUGUGCAAUUAGAGUUUCAGAUUUUAACAGAUCGAUAAAACCAUCUAUUAAAGGUAAGUUUUAAUCGAAAAAUAUUUGGACCUUCGAUCUGCUUCAGACUCGCGUUUUCGCUGCUGUACCUGCAAGCUGCUGGAAGGAGAUAUGCACAAGUCAGUAAUAGGAUAUCGAUCAUUUGAGCAGCGGCAUCCUCUGUGGGACGAUUUAAACAAUUACCCAGGCUUCUCCCAGUGCCAAUCACACACUGCAAAGAGCUGUUAUUGAACAACUGUAAUUGUUUUUCAAGAUAUGGCAAGGAGUGUGUGUCAUAUUUAUGAUUUCAGUGCAUUUCACGAUAAGAAUAAAAAGGGAGAAAAUAUUAAAUUACUAUGCACUAAUCAUGAGAUGGUCUGAUGUUUUAAAUGGAACAAAAUAGCUUUUUUGUCUCUCAUUUCAAUACACUCGCACAAUAGAUGUGGUUAUGUAAGCAUCCAAGAAGAUACAUUUUCCGUAGGCUUAACCAUCUCUGCAUUUAAAAAUAUAUAUAAUUGAGUAAAUAGGUUACGUAUCUACCCCUUCAUUAAUUAAUUUAUUGCUUCUUUUGAUCACGACGUGAUUUUCCCCAUGAACAAUGGAAUAAAUGAAGACUUUUUGCCCAUAAAGUUACAAUGCUUCCUUUAGAAGCAGUAGGUCAAUUUCAUAAACUCAAUGAGUUUUAACAGUGGAUCGGUUUAGAAGUACAUAGUAUACGACCUGGGUAUCCGUUAAUCACGUUUCUUUUGGUUGAUAAUUCGGGUAAAGUAACAACGUGGCUGGAUAACAUCAAGGUUUGGACCAAGCUGGACAAGACUAGGGAUGUUGUGGAUAAGUGUCGGGACAGAGCGGUGGAGGGAGACCGUCCGCCAACUGGAAAUUCCCGACGAAAAUUACAAACCAAACAAGUACUAUGUAAGUUGUUUAUAAGUUCCAAUACAAACCCGGUAAGUGGCCUAAUAAAAAAAAUCGAGUAACUUUGGUACAAUCAAAAGGCUAUUGAUGAAAUUGUUUUAUUAUUAUAAGAUCCUGAGGCUGAUUAAAAUAAGACUAUGCAUGAUUUA